UACGGAGGGUGCAAGCGUUAUCCGGAUUCACUGGGUUUAAAGGGUGCGUAGGAGGGCAGGUAAGUCAGUGGUGAAAUCUCCGAGCUUAACUUGGAAACUGCCGUUGAUACUAUCUGCCUUGAAUAUUUGUGGAGGUGAGCGGAAUAUGUCAUGUAGCGGUGAAAUGCUUAGAUAUGACAUAGAACACCAAUUGCGAAGGCAGCUCGCUACACAUAUAUUGACUCUGAGGCACGAAAGCGUGGGGAUCAAACAGG
rnacentral:rRNA from 1 species